AGUCUAUCCCCUUUUCUCAAGAAUCACGUCACUCAGAUCUACGAGCAUACUUCUCCAUUUCUCCUUUUCUAGUGCUUCUUCAUCGCGACCAUUCCCUCCGACAUUACAGCGAAGCAAUGAAACCACUCCUUGAAGAUGCUUAAGCUUAAUUGAAUCAGAUGAAUGUAAUAUAUCACCGUAUCACACUCAGCUCUAGGCUUAAUUUAGAGGGAUGUGAUGCCUUCAGAUCUGUCGACCACCAUUUCCUCUCCAUUUUGCCGCCAACAGAUCUGAAGCCGCCGCCGUCGCCGCCUCCCUUCCUCUGCGGAAGCUGCCAUCCGAUGCCACCGCCAAGCCUCAGCCGCCCUUUUUCCGCCGGAGCUGCCUCACUCACGACUGCCACCACUCCGGAACUAUCGAUUUAUUUAUUUAUUUUAUAUUUAAUUUAUUUCAAUUUUCUGUUGAUUUAUUUCAAAUAUUGUUAUUAUUGUGAUAUUUUAAGAAAUUUAUUGAGUUUUUGUUUAUUUAUUUCGAAUUUUAGAGUUAUUGUACUUACAAUUUUUUACCAAACAACUAUACUUUGCUUGAUGUGCUUCUGUGUCUAUUGCAAAUUCAUGUUAAUGACAAUUUUUAAGGGGAAAUAGCCCAUAUCUGCUUUGAUUAAACCAAUGAAAAAACCUACUCAACCUAGCCUAAGUAGAGUUACUGGUCAAUAUUUAUGCAUUUUUGAAAAGGAGAGAAGAGGAGAUUAUUUGGGUAAAACUGUUCAGGUUUGUCUUAUAUUUGGAAUUUUUACUUUGUGUUCAUCGUAUAUAGUGUCAGUUUGUUACAUGUAUGAUACAAUUCUUGUUCAGGUUGUCCCUCACAUUACAAAUGCCAUUCAAGAAUGGAUUGAACGCGUAGCAGCCAUUCCAGUUGAUGGAAAAGAUGGCCCAGCUGAUGUAUGUGUCAUAGAACUGGGUGGAACUAUAGGUGACACUGAGUUGAUGCCAUUUAUUGAGGCAUUAAGACAAUUCUCAUAUCGCGUUGCAACUUGAUGAGAAUGUCAAGGAGAAAUUUCCCGGUUUUGCCAUGUUCCGGUA